GUACUGCUGAUGAGUCCCACAACAGGACGAAACGGCCGUGCAAUGC
rnacentral:hammerhead_ribozyme from 1 species